CCGACCAUAGCUCAGUUGGAAGAGCAUGGGACUGUAGAAUUGUGGUUAUCCCGGGGUCACUGGUUCGAAUCCGGUUGGUCGGA
rfam:Trichomonas vaginalis G3, whole genome shotgun sequence.